rnacentral:lncRNA from 1 species
UACAUAAUUUAGAUUGACCUUCCUUCCAAAAGAAUUUACUUCAAAUUCAAUGGGUUAAAAGUCACUGAGCCAAUAUCACUAUGAUUAAAAAUUAACUCUAUCAACCUUCAAAUCUUUCUUCACCAAGAUUCUUAAUAUGUAUGAUCAAUGCUACAUAUGAUAACUCACAUAAGCAUCUCAAAAUCUAAAUCUCUACUCAAUGGCAAAGAUUCCUGGUUAGAUCAUAAAUCUAGACUUUAGUUCAAGUUAACACAUCUAAUAGUCUCCAACAAUUAUAAGAAAAAUUCAGUAGCCCAAUCCAAAUAUAUGAGUUCAAAUAAUUAGAAUUCCCUCAUCAAUAUGCCAACUCAAUAGCCUCCAAAUAAAAUCAAAUAUAUCAAUAGGAAAUAGACCUAUUUGUAAUAUCCAAACAUGCCAAUACCACAUACAGAUUCACAUACAUAUUCAACUUCGAAGAAUAUUCCUUUCAAUAUUAUGAAAUCUUCUUAGCUCACUCCAAUACUAUGGAAGAUCUACGUACAAAU